GACGAACGCUGGCGGCGUGCUUAACACAUGCAGGUCGAACGGAAAGGCCCUGCUUUUGUGGGGUGCUCGAGUGGCGAACGGGUGAGUAACACGUGAGUAACCUGCCCUUGACUUUGGGAUAACUUCAGGAAACUGGGGCUAAUACCGGAUAGGAGCUCCUGCUGCAUGGUGGGGGUUGGAAAGUUUCGGCGGUUGGGGAUGGACUCGCGGCUUAUCAGCUUGUUGGUGGGGUAGUGGCUUACCAAGGCUUUGACGGGUAGCCGGCCUGAGAGGGUGACCGGCCACAUUGGGACUGAGAUACGGCCCAGACUCCUACGGGAGGCAGCAGUGGGGAAUAUUGCACAAUGGGCGGGAGCCUGAUGCAGCAACGCCGCGUGCGGGAUGACGGCCUUCGGGUUGUAAACCGCUUUCGCCUGUGACGAAGCGUGAGUGACGGUAAUGGGUAAAGAAGCACCGGCUAACUACGUG
rnacentral:rRNA from 1 species